rnacentral:rRNA from 1 species
UACGUAGGGUGCAAGCGUUAAUCGGAAUUACUGGGCGUAAAGCGUGCGCAGGCGGUUUUGUAAGUCUGUCGUGAAAGCCCCGGGCUCAACCUGGGAACCGCGCUUGAGACUGGAGUACUAGAGUUCGGGAGAGGAUGGUGGAAUUCCCAGUGUAGAGGUGAAAUUCGUAGAUAUUGGGAAGAACACCGGUGGCGAAGGCGGCUCACUGGCUCAUUACUGACGCUCAGGCGCGAUAGCGUGGGGAUCAAACAGG